CCGCUCAGACACAGCGCCCGACACUGCCGGACCUGCGGCUCUCCCGACAUGCCGCUGAGAGCGGCCCCGCUCUGUGCCGAGCCGUCCCUGCCGCUCCCUGUCUCUGCCCCUCGGGGGUGACAGCGAGGCUGGGGAGGAACUUCAGCCCCUCUCGGGUUGGAAGGGACCUCAAAAACGACCCAGUUCCAUCCCCCUGUCCCGGGCAGGGACACCUUCCCCUGGGCCAGGUUGCUUUGCUGUGCCCCCAGAUCUGUCACCUGAGCUGAGCCGUCCCCACACGUUCCACGCAUGUUCCCGCAGGGACCACACAAGCUUUGCCACAAGGAAAAGUCCUAAAGGCCCUGUUCAUCCCAAGACAUCAAACCUAGAAUUUCUUUCUUGCUGCACUGUUUGCACUUCUUUCUUUCUCAAAGUGUCACGCACAGGAAAUAUUGCUGCGGCCUACUCCUGUGGGAUUUUCAGGAGUAUUGGAUAUAGUUUCCUUUUUUUUUUCCCUUUUCUUUGUAGCAGGAAUCUUCAAAAUCCUUUCCUCCUCCUCAAGACUCUGGGGCUCCUCAUUCCGUAGAAGCAGCCAAUUCGGAAGCACUCUGCAGAGAUCUAUCUGCCUGGGAGGAGAAGCAGAGGCGACCACUGAAAAGUGGCACGUGAGCUCUGGUGAGGACUGCUGCUCCGCCUGCCUUGGUGUGGGAACUGCUGAGCUGCCGUUCCUGUGGUGGGAGUGUUUCUCCUCUCAUGCAGGCAAGGCAGAGACCUGCCAGGUAAGGAGCAGGACAGCACGAAGACUGAAAGUGUGAUAAGGUGUGGAGUGAAAUGGAGAAUCCGAGAAGUGACAAGAGCAUCCGGUGCACAGGGGGACUGUGCAUUUUGCUUUUUGCUUGGAUUUCAACUCCAAAGUUGUGAGGAAUUUGGAAUGAGAUGGGACAUUUCAGAAGAAGACCAAGGAGAGGAAGAAGAAGUUGUUGCAGUCCUGGCAAAAUCUUUUUUUCCUAGCUAAUAAAAGAAGUUAGUGUGGAAAAAAAAAAAAAGUGGGUUUUUUUUCCUUCACUCGUAUAUUCUUUGGUGGUGGAUGUAUGGUGUGUUGUUUUCCUUUUCGGUAUUAUUAACUAUGUGCAAUUGGGUUUUGGAGUGAAGAUAACCUUAUGGAUGGGGUUGGUUUGUAUUUGAGGUAGAAUUAAUUUCAGUAGGUUUUCUUAACAGACUUCUGAGAUGUAUAAUAUUGGGAUUUUGGUUGUGUUCCUUGUAUGUGUAAAGAUACAGAUUUGGUAGGGCUAGCUGGGCUGCUGGAGUUUUGGGUGGUAAUUUAUUAGAUGGCUUUUGCUGGAUGCCAUUUUUAAUUUUUGAAAGUUUUUUUUUCAUGUAGCAGUUUUAAAGUGGUUUUUAAGAAUUCAUAGUAUUGUUUUAUAUUGUUUCUGCUUGGUGUAUGAUAAGGGAUAUGGUGUACCUCUUGAAUGUUAUGCUUUUGGUGUUCAUAAGUUUCGAUUUAUUUCUGGAUAAAUGUUGUUUUGUUUUU